GGAGGAGUGGCUGAGUGGUUGAAGGCGCGCGACUCGAAAUCGUGUGUACCCUUUAAAGGUACCGGGGGUUCAAAUCCCUCCUCCUCCGCCA
rnacentral:tRNA from 1 species